rnacentral:rRNA from 1 species
GAUGAACGCUGGCGGCGUGCCUAAUACAUGCAAGUCGAGCGAACAGACCCUGAUCUUGUUCCUCUGUCGUUAGCCGCGCACGUGUGAGUAACACGUGUAUAACCUCCCUAUAAUACUGGGAUAACUUCGGGACUCCGGCUCUAAUACCGUAUAAUAUCUUGCUCCGCAUUGUUCAAUAGUGAAAUUCGGUUUUUCUGUCUCUUCUCGCUGCUUCCGCGCUGCUUUAGCUAGUUGUUAAGGUAACGGCUUACCAAGGCAACGAUGCGUAGCCGACCUGAGAGGGGGAUAGGCCGCACGGGAACUGAGACACGGUCAAGACUACUAAGGGAGGCAGCAGUAGGGAAUCUUCCGCAAUGGGCGAAAGUAUGACGGAGCAAGGCGGCGUGAGUGAUGAAGGUCUUCGGAGCGGAAAAAUGUGUUAUUAGGGAAGAACAAAUGUGUAAGGAACUAUGCAGGUAGUGACGGUACCUAAUAAGAAAGCCACGGCUAACUACGUG